UGGGGAAUAUUGGACAAUGGGCGAAAGCCUGAUCCAGCCAUGCCGCGUGUGUGAAGAAGGUCUUCGGAUUGUAAAGCACUUUAAGUUGGGAGGAAGGGCAGUAAGCGAAUACCUUGCUGUUUUGACGUUACCGACAGAAUAAGCACCGGCUAACUCUGUGCCAGCAGCCGCGGUAAUACAGAGGGUGCAAGCGUUAAUCGGAAUUACUGGGCGUAAAGCGCGCGUAGGUGGUUCGUUAAGUUGAAUGUGAAAGCCCCGGGCUCAACCUGGGAACUGCAUCCAAGACUGGCGAGCUAGAGUAGGGCAGAGGGUGGUGGAAUUUCCUGUGUAGCGGUGAAAUGCGUAGAUAUAGGAAGGAACACCAGUGGCGAAGGCGACCACCUGGGCUCAUACUGACGCUGAGGUGCGAAAGCGUGGGGAGCAAACAGG
rnacentral:rRNA from 1 species